GACGAACGCUGGCGGCGUGCCUAAUACAUGCAAGUAGAACGCUGAAGGCGGAGCUUGCUUCUCUGGAUGAGUUGCGAACGGGUGAGUAACGCGUAGGUAACCUGCCUGGUAGCGGGGGAUAACUAUUGGAAACGAUAGUUAAUACCGCAUAAUAGUAGAUGUUGCAUGACAUUUGCUUAAAAGGUGCAAUUGCAUCACUACCAGAUGGACCUGCGUUGUAUUAGCUAGUUGGUGGGGUAACGGCUCACCAAGGCGACGAUACAUAGCCGACCUGUGAGGGGGGUCGGCCACACUGGGACUGAGACACGGCCCAGACUCCUACGGGAGGCAGCAGUAGGGAAUCUUCGGCAAUGGGCGGAAGUCUGACCGAGCAACGCCGCGUGAGUGAAGAAGGUUUUCGGAUCGUAAAGCUCUGUUGUAAGAGAAGAACGAGUGUGAGAGUGGAAAGUUCACACUGUGACGGUAUCUGACCAGAAAGGGACGGCUAACUACGUG
rnacentral:rRNA from 1 species